GCACCCGUAGCUCAGCUGGAUAGAGCANCUGCCUUCGGAGCAGAGGGUCGGGAGUUCGAAUCUCUCCGGGUGUG
rnacentral:tRNA from 1 species